AGUUUGAUCCUGGCUCAGGAUGAACGCUAGCUACAGGCUUAACACAUGCAAGUCGAGGGGCAGCAUUUCAGUUUGCUUGCAAACUGGAGAUGGCGACCGGCGCACGGGUGAGUAACACGUAUCCAACCUGCCGAUAACUCGGGGAUAGCCUUUCGAAAGAAAGAUUAAUACCCGAUGGUAUAAUUAGACCGCAUGGUCUAAUUAUUAAAGAAUUUCGGUUAUCGAUGGGGAUGCGUUCCAUUAGGCAGUUGGUGAGGUAACGGCUCACCAAACCUUCGAUGGAUAGGGGUUCUGAGAGGAAGGUCCCCCACAUUGGAACUGAGACACGGUCCAAACUCCUACGGGAGGCAGCAGUGAGGAAUAUUGGUCAAUGGGCGCAGGCCUGAACCAGCCAAGUAGCGUGAAGGAUGACUGCCCUAUGGGUUGUAAACUUCUUUUAUAUGGGAAUAAAGUUUUCCACGUGUGGAAUUUUGUAUGUACCAUAUGAAUAAGGAUCGGCUAACUCCGUGCCAGCAGCCGCGGUAAUACGGAGGAUCCGAGCGUUAUCCGGAUUUAUUGGGUUUAAAGGGAGCGUAGGUGGACAGUUAAGUCAGUUGUGAAAGUUUGCGGCUCAACCGUAAAAUUGCAGUUGAUACUGGCUGUCUUGAGUACAGUAGAGGUGGGCGGAAUUCGUGGUGUAGCGGUGAAAUGCUUAGAUAUCACGAAGAACUCCGAUUGCGAAGGCAGCUCACUGGACUGCAACUGACACUGAUGCUCGAAAGUGUGGGUAUCAAACAGGAUUAGAUACCCUGGUAGUCCACACAGUAAACGAUGAAUACUCGCUGUUUGCGAUAUACAGUAAGCGGCCAAGCGAAAGCAUUAAGUAUUCCACCUGGGGAGUACGCCGGCAACGGUGAAACUCAAAGGAAUUGACGGGGGCCCGCACAAGCGGAGGAACAUGUGGUUUAAUUCGAUGAUACGCGAGGAACCUUACCCGGGCUUAAAUUGCAUUUGAAUAUAUUGGAAACAGUAUAGCCGUAAGGCAAAUGUGAAGGUGCUGCAUGGUUGUCGUCAGCUCGUGCCGUGAGGUGUCGGCUUAAGUGCCAUAACGAGCGCAACCCUUAUCUUUAGUUACUAACAGGUCAUGCUGAGGACUCUAGAGAGACUGCCGUCGUAAG
rnacentral:rRNA from 1 species